rnacentral:SRP_RNA from 1 species
GCUGGGCCUUGUAGCGGGGGCCUGUAACUCAAGUGAGAGCUUUAAGUUGGUUGGAGUUUGGCUUGAUUCAGACGGUCGGGCUUUGCUGAGAUAUGCACAGGCUUGCCCAUUCCAAGUAUGGAGUUGUGCCUUGGCCACUGGGUGAAGGCUCGGGGGUAGGCACAGCGCUAGGCUGGCUUCACAGAGCAGCGAUCACUUCCCUCUCUUGUCGGUGGAAGGAUAACAAGCUUGUUCUCAGCGAGUCCAUUAAACACUCGAUGGACCCACUCAAACCAACAACCAUCUUU